rnacentral:rRNA from 1 species
UACGAAGGGGGCUAGCGUUGUUCGGAAUUACUGGGCGUAAAGCGCACGUAGGCGGAUUAGCAAGUCAGGGGUGAAAUCCCGGGGCUCAACCUCGGAACUGCCUUUGAUACUGUUAGUCUAGAGUCCGGAAGAGGUGGGUGGAAUUCCUAGUGUAGAGGUGAAAUUCGCAGAUAUUAGGAAGAACACCGGUGGCGAAGGCGGCCCACUGGUCCGGAACUGACGCUGAGGUGCGAAAGCGUGGGGAGCAAACAGG